UGGGGAAUAUUGCACAAUGGGCGCAAGCCUGAUGCAGCCAUGCCGCGUGUGUGAAGAAGGCCUCGGGUUGUAAGCACUUUCAGCGAGGAGGAAGGUGGUGAACUUAAUACGUUCAUCAAUUGACGUUACUCGCAGAAGAAGCACCGGCUAACUCCGUGCCAGCAGCCGCGGUAAUACGGAGGGUGCAAGCGUUAAUCGGAAUUACUGGGCGUAAAGCGCACGCAGGCGGUUUGUUAAGUCAGAUGUGAAAUCCCCGGGCUCAACCUGGGAACUGCAUUUGAAAACUGGCAAGCUAGAGUCUCGUAGAGGGGGGUAGAAUUCCAGGUGUAGCGGUGAAAUGCGUAGAGAUCUGGAGGAAAUACCGGUGGCGAAGGCGGCCCCCUGGACGAAGACUGACGCUCAGGUGCGAAAGCGUGGGGAGCAAACAGAUUAGAUACCCUGGUAGUCACGCUGUAAAACGAUGUCGAUUUUGGAGGUUGUGCCCCUUGAGGCGUGGNUUCCGGAGCUAACGNGUUAAAUCGACCGCC
rnacentral:rRNA from 1 species